rnacentral:rRNA from 1 species
AACGAACGCUGGCGGCGUGUUUAAGACAUGCAAGUCGCACGGGACUAUUUGAGUAGCAAUACAAGAAUAGUCUAGUGGCGCACGGGUGAGUAACACGUGAAUUACAUGCCCUGCAGAGGGGGAUAGCACAGGGAAACUUGGAUUAAUACCCCAUGGUAUCGCGAGAUUAAAGGUGGCCGCAAGGCUGUCGCUGCAGGAUUGGUUCGCGCCCUAUCAGCUUGUUGGUGAGGUAACGGCUCACCAAGACUACGACGGGUACCUGGUCUGAGAGGACGAUACGGCACACUGGAACUGAGAUCCGGUCCAGGAUCCUACGGGUGGCUGCAGUCGAGAAUAAUGCACAAUGGGGGCAACCCUGAUGGUGCAACGCCGCGUGGAGGAUGAAGGUCUUCGGAUUGUAAACUCCUGUCAUCCGGGAGUAAGACCUGGCGAUGAAUAGUCGACAGGGUUGAUAGUACCGGAAGAGGAAGGGACGGCUAACUUCGUGCCAGCAGCCGCCGUAA